rnacentral:misc_RNA from 1 species
AACGCAUAUUGCACUUCCGGGCUCGUCCUGGAGGUAUGUCUAUAUCAGUGCCCGUCACUAAAAUGUUUUGUUUUUUCGUAAGAGAAUGCAAACGACUGUGAAGGUAAUUGCUUGUCAAUUUCCUUUUAAAUGACAUUCCCUGUGCAACAAUGUAUCAAGUACAUUAUCUAAAGGGCAAUAUGAAUCUAUCUUUGAAUGCUUUGUGACGUGAUCAUGGGCUUUUGACAAAGAAAUAGAUCGUGGUAGCUUUUUUACCCUUGUGGUAGGAGACUUAUUGCGGUGGACUUUCUGCGGAUAUAAAGUUUGUGGUUAAAUAUGAAGCGUUUAAGACGGAGUUAUAUUAUCUGGUGUAUUUGAUGUUGUAUGGAAGCAAGUGGGUAAAUAUUCCAACUUGGUCCUGAUAUUAGACAAGACUACCCGCUGAACUUAA